ACAUGAUCUGGAGAGGUUCACUUCACUUCCAACAUCCUCAUGUGAACACUACGGUCACAAUACUUGAUUCAGUGCGACGUCCAGGGUUAACAUAAGUGCAUGUACUUUGCUUUGGGAUUGAAACGCUUCUGCAUUGAACUGUAUUGAACAAGGUGCAAAUGCAGGGACCAUGGACCCUGAUAAAUAUUUAAAUGUGUACUUGAGUGAGUUACAACCCAUUUGGAAAGUCUGGAAGCAGUAGAAGGAAAUUUUAUGCAUCUUUUCAAACUCCAUCCUUCAUGAAAGGGAUGUGGUUGGAAGGACUGAAUCAGGCGGCCAGACAAGUUUAAACCAUGGCAUGAAAUGACUUUGAUAGGCCAGACUGCUGCAUUUUUACUUUACAAGCAUGGCAUGAACAGACUGGAAUGUUCGGCUGUGGCUGAUGAAGUACAAGCUCACACACGUGGAGACGUGGGCCCAGAAUGCAUUGGCUUAGGGUUUGACGUUUUUAGUGCUCCGGACACCUUGUGAGACAGCGGAUCUCCACUAAAUCCUUUCAUUUGAACUUCCAUGCUAGAUUAAUUUGUUUUGACAACUCUAUCAAAAAAAAAUAAAAAAAAAUAAUUGCACACUUAUUACACAAUGUCUCAUUGAAAAUGGCAGAAAGGCCAUGCUGUGCAAUGAAAUGCGACUGGAAAAUAAGUGACUACUAUAUCGAUCAGAAAUGGAAGUGGAAAUUUGUAUCUACAGGUCAAUGUACUUACAUGACAAGGACAUUAAUGCACUGAUGUGUUGCUCAGCAUGCAAUGAAAAAUAUGACACAGAUUAGAAAUGCUAGCAAUUUGAGACACCUUGUGUGUUUGGAACAGAUGGAUUUUCCUCAUUGACAAGGUCAUAGUCUGCCCAUGUCAACACAUCUUGAUGUUUAAUAUGCAUCUCUAUCAUGUGCACUUCAAAAGAAAAGAGUUAAAUGGUGUUUAUUCUGUAGUCAAUUGAUUCUGUGGCCUCACAUGAGGAUGAAAUAUUAGCAGGCUGGUCAGCGGAUUUGGCGAUUUAUGGAUGCAGUGCAAUAAUACGUGCAAAAGUAUAAUUAAUACAAACUUUCCAUUCCAAAUUAUAUUAUUAGCAUAACAAAUGAAGUUGAAAGUUGAAUCGAAAAUGAACAAGAAUGUCUUUGGUGUGUAUCUCUGAUGAUGAAGCAUCUUGAGCUUCAUCGACCGUCUGUACAAAGAGUCACGUGAUCAAUGUCGCUCAUUUACUUGCAUUUUAGUAGUGACCUAGAAAUAGUUCCUCUUCAUUAAAUGUCAUAAGUUUCGGUGUACUUUCAGGUUUAGGUGGAAAUGUGGUCUGAGGCUUUUAAAACCCCAUUAUACGUU
ensembl:lncRNA